CGUGCCAGCAGCCGCGGUAAUACGGAGGAUGCAAGCGUUAUCCGGAUUCAUUGGGUUUAAAGGGUGCGCAGGCGGAAUAAUAAGUCAGCGGUGAAAGCCUACAGCUUAACUGUAGAACUGCCAUUGAUACUGUUAUUCUUGAGUGUUGUUGAGGUAGGCGGAAUGUGUCAUGUAGCGGUGAAAUGCUUAGAUAUGACACAGAACACCGAUCGCGAAGGCAGCUUACCAAGCAACAACUGACGCUCAUGCACGAAAGCGUGGGGAUCAAACAGGAUUAGAUACCCUGGUAGUCCACGCCGUAAACGAUGAUCACUCGAUGUUGGCGAUACACAGUCAGCGUCUUAGGGAAACUAUUAAGUGAUCCACCUGGGGAGUACGGUCGCAAGAUUGAAACUCAAAGGAAUUGACGGGGGCCCGCACAAGCGGAGGAGCAUGUGGUUUAAUUCGAUGAUACGCGAGGAACCUUACCUGGGCUCGAACGUGGAAUGACAGUCGCGGAAACGUGAUCUUCUUCGGACAUUCUACGAGGUGCUGCAUGGUUGUCGUCAGCUCGUGCCGUGAGGUGUCGGGUUAAGUCCCAUAACGAGCGCAACCCCUAUCUUUAGUUGCCAUCAGGUAAUGCUGGGGACUCUAAAGAAACUGCC
rnacentral:rRNA from 1 species